rnacentral:rRNA from 1 species
AGCAGCCGCGGUAAUUCCAGCUCCAAUAGCGUAUAUUAAAGUUGUUGCAGUUAAAAAGCUCGUAGUUGAACUUCGGGGUUUACCCAUUGGUCAGGCUUAAUUGUCUGUACUGGUGAGAUGAAUCUCUACCUUCUGGGGAACUUUCAUGCCAUUUAUUUGGUGUGAUGGGAAAUCAGGACUGUUACUUUGAAAAAAUUAGAGUGUUUAAAGCAGGCUAACGUCUGAAUACAUUAGCAUGGAAUAAUGAAAUAGGACGGAUUGAUUCUAUUUCGUUGGUUUCUAGGAUCACCGUAAUGAUUAAUAGGGAUAGUUGGGGGCAUUAGUAUUCAAUUGUCAGAGGUGAAAUUCUUGGAUUUAUUGAAGGCUAACUACUGCGAAAGCAUUUGCCAAGGAUGUUUUCAUUAAUCAAGAACGAAAGUUAGGGGAUCGAAGACGAUCAGAUACCGUCGUAGUCUUAAACCAUUAAACUAUGCCGACUAGGGAUCGGACGAAGUUAAUUUAUAAUGACGCGUUCGGCACCUUACGG